CCUGAGCUAUGUCGAAAAACGGCUUUAAAGUAUACUGCAGUAAUUACAUUAUUAUCUGCAUCUGCUCCUGUUUUAAAUCUAACCUCAACUUGGUUUGCUUUGGAAUCAUUUCCGUUGAACGCAUACUUUUGCUAUUUGGGUGCUUUAGAACACAAUCCAUUAACUUGGAACUGAAGUGGUCACAAUGUAAAAAUGUUAAGAACUUUGUUUAUACAACUCCGGAAACACACUUUCAGAUAAAAUGGACAGCUCCUGUAGGGCCCCCAGAGGUGAUCUAUGUAGUUAUUGAUGACCAGAGUAUACUGAGUUUGUGGAGGGAACACUUCUCCAACCUGCUGAAUGGCAGUGAAAGUAUAACACCAUGAGAUGGCGAACUCGAUUCCCCAAUCGACGACGAUGGAACAAAUGUUCCAUUGCCCGACCGUGAAGAAAUUAGAAUAGCAAUUACCCACUUGAAGAACAACAAAGCGGCGGAGGCCGAUGGAUUACCGGCCGAGCUAUUCAAAUACGGCGGCGAAGAACUGAUAGGGUGCACGCAUCAGCUUCUUUGCGGAAUAUGGUCGGAAGAAAGCAUGCCCGACGAUUGGAAUCUGAGUGUACUCUGCCCGAUCCACUAAAAGGAAGACCCCACAACCUGCGCCAACUACCUUGGCACAAGCCUCCUUAACAUCGCUUAUAAGGUUCUAUCGAGCGUACUGUGUGAAAGACUAAAGCCCACCGUCAACAAACUGAUUGGACCUUAUCAGUGUGGCUUUAGACCUGGAAAAUCAACAACUGACCAGAUAUUUACCACGCGCCAAAUCAUAGAGAAGACCCGUGAAAAGAGAAUCAACACACACCAUCUUUUUGUCGACUUUAAACUGCUUUCGAAUGCACGAAAAUGAUGCCUUUAUGCCGCGAUGUCUGAAUUUGUAUCCCCGCAAAACUAGUACGGCUGUGUAAGCUGACGUUGAGCAACACCAAAAGCUGUGUGUGAUUUCUUUAACCUGAUGCUGGAGAAAAUAAUACGAGCAGCAGAUCUAAAUAGAGAAAGUACAAUCUUCUAUAAAAGUGUAAAGCCACUGGCGUACGCCGAUGAUAUCGAUAUCAUUGGAAACAACACCCGCGCCGUUAGUUCUGCUUUUUUCAGACUGGAUAAGGAAGUGAAGCGUAUGGGUCUGGUGGUCAAGACGAAAUAUCUCCUGUCGUCAAACAAACAGUCAGUGCAUUCGAGUCUUGGCUCCCACGUCACUGUUGACAGUCAUAACUUUGAAGUUGUAGAUAAUUUCGUUUAUCUGAGAUCCAGCAUUAACAGCAAUAACAAUGUCAGCCUGGAAAUCAAACGCAGAAUCACUCUUGCCAACAGGUGCUACUAUCGACUGAGUAGGCAAUUGAAAGUAAAGUCCUCUCUCGACGAACAAAAAUCAAACUCUACAAGUCUCUCAUCAUUCCCGUCCUACUUUACGGUGCAGAAGCGUGGACGAUGUCAACAUCCGAUGAGACAGGACUAGGAGUUUUCGAGAGAAAGUUUUUGCGGAAGAUUUAUGGUCCCUUAAACAUUGGCAACGGCGAAUACCGCAGAAGAUGAAAUGAUGAGCUGUAUGUGUUAAUCGAUGACAUAGACAUAGUCCAGGGGCUACGCUGGCUAGGUCAUGUUGUUCGAAUGGACGAAAGUUCUCCAGCUCUGAAAGUGGGUGGCAGCCGAGAAAGAGGGAGACCUUCACACCGAUGGAAGGACCAGGUGGAGAGCGACCUGGCUUCGCUUGGUAUAACCAAUUGGCACCAAACUGCCAGGAGGAGAGAUGCGUGGCGCGCUGUUGUGGACUCGGCUAUAACCGCGUAAGCGGUGUCUACGCCAGUCAAGAAGAAGAAGAAAAUGGAAAGCUUACAUUUGAUAUCUGGCUGAGCCAAGUGUUUAUGGUGACUACAAAUAUCAAACGAAUGUUCUAUUUCACACACAACCGAAGAUUCCGUCGAAUAAGCGCCAUUUUUUGCAUAUUUUUAAACUGCUUAACAGUUUAAAUAAAAAACUUUUUAGCUAUAGCAUCUUAAAAUUGUAGUAAUUUGAAUCUCGAAUCUAACGUAGUAGCCAACGCCAGAAUUUAAUUGCCAUAACAGAUACAUCAAGCAACAAGCAACUUUUAAAUUUCAUAACAAAUUAUUAAAAUUGAACACAAAAUGUAUUUGCGAUUUAUUUUUAAACUUACUUCACACUAAUUAAUGAAAGAUUUAUGAAUAUUUUUCAAACUUUAUAACAAAACAUAUGCCUGUGUGACAUAGCAUUUCCAAAUAUACAGUUUCGGGUUAUACGAGAAAAGGUGUUAAUGUGAAGUAAAAGCUGUAAUCGAUUGGUCACUUCUCUAUUCGCUAUCUUUGAGCGCUGCUCGUCUGUCAAAAAUUUUACAUGUGAAAGAAAGAACAAAGUUAUCUAAUUGAGCUCAUGUAGGAGAGUAUGCGGAUACCUCAUUAAAAAUUCUAUCGUACAUUUUAAUUGAUUAAAUAAAACGUAAGCUCGAAACAAGGGGAUAAAAAAUAUGUUUCUGCAGAUUUAAGUAUUUCUCCACUUAAGGAAAUGAUGCAGCACUAUUGCGCAUCAUUAAGAGGACAAUUUAGCGCAGACUUGAACCAUAAGUGCUGCCUGUCUUUUUGAAUUACGAGAUAGUGUGCUCUAUUGGCUCUCUAUAAUGUUUACCGGACGUUUCACGUUCAAGAAAUUGCUUUCAAGUUGCCACACACUCACAAAUGUUUACUACCACACUCUCACUUUCCGAACUUGAAAGCCAUCUUGCUUUCAUCAUCUUGCGAGCAAGAAGUAUUUCAAGUUGAUGAUCAAGAGAUAAUCAGCUGAGUGCAGAGUUCUCGAAUUUCAAAGUACAAGUAAUAAAAUUAAAAUAAAUGACAAAGUUGAAAAUUUUUUUUCAAUAUUUCCUUAUUUAUUGAAUCUGCUUGUUUUUAAGCCUAACAACAAGUUAUAAAAUCUUAAAUAUAUUUGAAAACAAGACAAGCUCAACCAAGUGAUUGAGCUGUAUUGGUGAAACGUUGCUCGUUAGUACACUGGCAUAUCCCUUCUUUUUAGGCGUGUUUGAUCGCAGGAAUGUACUAAAGCAUUAGCCAAUGGGUUUGGGUGAUCACGGAGUUUAGAUAAAUAUGUCAAUCUACUUCUUUCUUUACCAUAGGGAUACCAAGAUCUUUAUGGAUAUUUUCCUUGCGCAUGUACCAUGGUGAGCACGUGAUUGAUCUAAGCAUUUUCGAUUGGAACCUUUGUAUUAUUUGUUUGUUGAAAUAAGUGAAUUAUUCCCUUUUACAAAAUUGUACACAAGCAGUGCGUUUUUUGGAACAUGAAUCUUCCGACGUAUCAAAUUGAAUAUCAACUUGCUUGGAGCCUACGUCAUGACUUUGAAUUUAUGUCAAUUUUGACAAUUAGUUCGUGUAAUCAACGUGAAAGCAAGUUCUUUACCAUGUAACGGCAGCGUUACCCAAUCGAUGACACCUAAAAUUUGAAUAGAAAACAUCGACAAAACAACGCUCGAGGUAACAUCGAUGCAUUAAUGUUUUUAAAUUCGAAGUAUCGAUGACAAACAACAUCGAUACAUCGUUUGCAUCCCUAGUGAUAAAUGCUUUCAACAAUGGCAUUUUUUAUAUUGUUUUUACUCGGAAUUAUUUCUAACGGGGCUACUUUUAAGCCAGUAGUAUUGAUGCAUGGUAUUUUAUCUGGACCCGAAAAGAUGGAGGUGUUGGUUGAAGAAAUCCAAAAGGCACACCCUGAUACAAAAAUAUACAACUUUGAUAAAUAUGAUGGAUGGGCUAGUUUGGAAAAUAGUUGGCGGCAAGUUAUAGAAUUUCGCAACUUUUUGGAAGUAAUUGGAAAAGAGCAUCCUGGUGGAAUCAACGUAGUAGGGUACUCUCAAGGAGGGCUUAUAGCUCGGACUGCUAUUCAAACUCUUCCUUCUCACAACAUUAACACUUUCAUUUCACUCUCAUCACCACAAGCUGGUCAAUUUGGAGCGAAUUUUCUACAUCUCGUAUUUCCGGAUUUGGCAGCAAAUACUGCUUAUGAGCUUUUUUAUUCCACUAUUGGACAGCACAUAUCGAUAGCGAAUUACUGGAAUGAUCCUUCAGAGCAAGAAUUAUACUAUAAAUUUAGCAAAUUUUUGCCAUUAAUGAAUAAUGAAAUUCGAACAUAUAAUUCCAGUCAGUACAAAAACGCUUUACUACGUUUGAAUAAAAUGAUUUUAAUAGGAGGUCCAAAUGAUGGUGUAAUUACCCCUUGGGAAUCUAGUCACUUCGGGUAUUUUAAUAAAACAUUGAAUGUUAUACCUUUACAUAAGCGAUUAAUAUACAUAAAUGAUUCGAUUGGGUUGAAAUCUCUCGAUAAUAAUGGCAAAUUAAUAAUAGUCAUCAAGCCAUUUGUUCAUCAUCUUACUUGGCAUACGAAUCGACGAGUCAUCCAGGAAGUUAUAAUUCCUUAUUUGGAUUAAAUAUUUUUUGGAACGCAAUUCAAACCAAUAGUUGGUAUUAAUACUUCCCAUGCUUAUAAUAAAUAAUGGUGGAUAAUCGCCAAAUAGUGUAACAUUUGUAUGCCUUCAACUAGCAAGUAAUCACUCCUCAGAUAACAACAUCGGCAGCAACAGCAACAAUUAAUACGUAUUCAAAUUCAGAAUAAAUGACAAAAUCGCACAUGCAACCGGCAAAUAACAAGGCUACAAAUUACAUCGGACUUAGGAGUAGCAGUUUCACUUAUUUUCGACGUACUAAACAGUGUCACCCAUGAUGCCCUUGGAUCUACACAAUGGAGAGUUAACAUAGUGCUCGAAAAAAAAAUAUUGAGGCGCAGAAGUUGCUUAUCCGUCUUCUGAUUUGACUAUGCAGUAUUAUGAUUGUUAAUUUAUAAAUUUUGAACGUUCGCAAUAGCACUAAAUUUAUUAAUUUAAAUGUAAAAUAUUGUUAAAUUAUCAUCUAUAUACAAAUUACUGUACCAAUAUUUGUAACAAUCGUAAUAGUAGAGAAAUUUAAUUUGUAUUGUAUAACAACACAAAAAAUCAAUACUUAAAACUUUUGAGAAAUUGUAAAUUAUACAAAUUUAAUAAUUAAUACGAACUUUAUAUGUAAAAUAUGUAAAUUUUGUCAAUGUAUAAAUGAUAGCCGCAAAAGCGUUUGUAAAAAUGAAGGUUUACUUUGUGCUGAUUGCUAAUCUUUAAAAAUUAAUCUAUAAUAAUUAUUAAAAUGUAAAAUACAAUACUAAUUUAUAAAUGUAAAUACCUCAUACCAUUAAAUAAUUAAAAAUAAAACAAUUUCAAUUUUUCAUUUUUAAACGAAAAAGUAGGGUGACCUAUGAUAGAAACCAUGGAGACCAAUGAAUAUUUAAGUAACGAAACGGUGACCCAGCAAAUAACCAAUACAUUUACUUCCUGUGACUAAGGUGUGAUCCUGAAAAUGAUAAAUCGAACAAUCUCCACUGAUAGAUGGCUGAUUAAAUAAAAAACCACUACAGAGGGCUCUGCUAACCACAUAGUGAGUUGUCGAGUAAAGUGCAAGAAGUUUUAAGUGAGAAGUUGAAAACUCGUAUAAUGAUUAAUAAAGUGUUCAGUUCUUUAAAUUAGAAAUAAAGACAAGUGUAUAGCCAUUAAAUAGUGACUUUUAUUUGACAAUUCAGUGAUCGAACUUAGGGUAGAGUUUCAGCGUAUUUUCAUAUAUAUAUAUAUAUAUAUUUCAAUUUUCAUUUAUUUUUUUGUUUAAUGUUCCUCUAUGCUGUUUUGUUAUUAGAAUAUUUUUUUUCCCUUUUUUCCUCUUUAGUUUUACAAUGCCCGAUUGAUGUUUGUUAAUUUUGUGCGGCGCUCGUUUUGUGCUUUUGUCUUUUGAUAGUGGGGGAUUGAAUUGCAAGAUUUUUCUCUUUCUCAUAAAAUACUGAUUUUUUGUAUUAUAACAUACAUGAAGCAUAAAUUCGUUGGAUAACUUUAAAUAAAAUAUGUAUUAUUUUAUUUGAAUUUAUUAACGAAAACAAGAAUAUACCAAAAUGGAUUUUGAUAUUUAUGCUAUACAACAGGGAUGUAAAUAAACUUCGAAAGUGAAAUAUCUGCAAGUAGUUAUAUAUUUCCGAGAAAAAUAUUAUUUUUAAGUAAAAUACAUUUACAUUUAAAAAUAUUCAAAAAAAAUUAAAAUAAAUACAGAUAAACUCUUUAUAGUGUUAUAUAAGACUUUAAAUUAAAAAAUAUAAAAUAAAAAUAUAACAAUUUACAUUGUUUAACUAUGAUUGAUGUGCCUUCAAUUUCUAUUAUUUAACUCAGAAUAAUCAAUUAAUUAAUAUUCAAUACAUAGAUUUUUGGAUCUGCCAAAUCAGAGGGGUAAGUAUUUUCCAGCAUCAUUUUGUAUUUUACUAACUAGCACAUAACAUAUAAUGUUAGAGAUUUACAA